AUUGAACGCUGGCGGCAGGCUUAACACAUGCAAGUCGAGCGGGGAUAGGGUGCUUGCACCUGAUUCCUAGCGGCGGACGGGUGAGUAAUGCUUAGGAAUCUGCCUAUUAGUGGGGGACAACAUUCCGAAAGGGAUGCCAAUACCGCAUACGCCCUACGGGGGAAAGCAGGGGAUCUUCGGACCUUGCGCUAAUAGAUGAGCCUAAGUCGGAUUAGCUAGUUGGUGGGGUAAAGGCCUACCAAGGCGACGAUCUGUAGCGGGUCUGAGAGGAUGAUCCGCCACACUGGGACUGAGACACGGCCCAGACUCCUACGGGAGGCAGCAGUGGGGAAUAUUGGACAAUGGGCGGAAGCCUGAUCCAGCCAUGCCGCGUGUGUGAAGAAGGCCUUUUGGUUGUAAAGCACUUUAAGCGAGGAGGAGGCUACCUGGAUUAAUACUCUAGGAUAGUGGACGUUACUCGCAGAAUAAGCACCGGCUAACUCUGUGCCAGCAGCCGCCGUAAAAC
rnacentral:rRNA from 1 species